UUUGGGGAAGUGAAAGGAUUCAGCCCACACCCUACUAGGCCCUGUGGCCCAGAAGCAGUGCGGAGGGAAACUCCUCACCCCAUCCCCCAUGCACAUUCAGACACCACACCACCAUCCCUGAAACACACACACUGUGUACUCUGGGACAGGUUCUUAUCUAGCCCAGACCAUCUAGAGGGAAGGGCCCAAGCUUCUAUUCCAGGACCCAGACCCAGUGGCAUUUUCUCAGGAAGAGCAUAUGGCCAGGGGGCUCCUGUGUCCCUGCCUAACUGGCUGAGAGUCUGAGCAGCCCUGUGUCACACCCUCUUCCAUCUGGGUGCCUUCAUUCCUCACUGAAGGCUGACCAGUGCUUUCAAUGGUCACUGAGCCUUUUUAGUUAGGCUGCAGAAGCCUGCAGGGUUGUAUGGGCCUGGCAUUCUACUGCCACCAAGUACACCACCAGAGAUGCACGUGGGCACAUGUGGCAUGUGGAGAGCCCUCGUUUCAGCAGCAGGUCUUGAAUUUGUGACCACCCUGCCUCAGCCUCCCAAGUACAUAGGCUCAUAAACCUCGGAUACAACAACUGGCUUGCAAUAAAGCACUGGAUACUCAUGCUCACUCUGACAAGAGACCUUGAGCGCUCGGCCAGCACUGACACACCCACGGUCACCUCAGACAGUGGGUCUUCAGCUGCCCGCAUUAGCACAAUCUGAAUGACGCGGCCUUCGUAGACAUGGGCAUCGAAUGUUGACUUCCACUCGGGGGAGCCCAGCUCAUAGGAAUUGAAGGAGAUGCGCAGGAACGGCGCCAUGGUGAAGCCUGCGGAAGAUUGUGCACAUGAAGGGAUGAAGCGAGACAGUGACGCAGAGGCGGUGGAGACCGCUGCCGGGAUGCUACUCAGGCCCCCACUCUCCACAGAGCUCACCACUGGAGCUGCCCCACAUGGUACAGCAAAUGCACUAGUCUCUGGUGCCAAUGGGGAAAGCUGGGCAGUCUAACUUAAGUCUGGGUUGAGGCGCUGCUGGUAAAACUAAAAGAUGGGAAACCAGACUUGUCGAGCAACAGCCACCGUGCUG